rnacentral:tRNA from 1 species
GGUCGGAAGUUCAAGUCUUCCCAGGCCCACCACACUCAUCGAGUGAGCAUUCGUCUUCUGGUUACGGGGCCAUAGCUCAGCUGGGAGAGCGCGUGCUUUGCAAGCAUGAGGUCGUCGGUUCGAUCCCGUCUGGCUCCACCAGAUGGUUUGAUCACCGAGAUCGUGCGCCGUCGUCCGCGAAACAUCACUUCGCAUCCUGCUAGUCUGGAUAGACAGCAGGUUGCGUGAUUUCUGACAUCGUAAAGAGGAGAUCGAUCCGAGUUGGAUCGUGCAGCAAGCAAUUGCUACGCGAGACUUCAUUAUCUCCGGAUCAUUUCGGCGCUCGUGCGUCUUCCAAGGCAGCUCACAAGGCUGCAUUGAGAGGCGAGCGAGUUGUAAAUGAUCCUUUUAGCGAAGCUUGACCGCCUCGCUAUCGGAACGAUCUUACGAAGCAAGCUGGUCUUUCUAAUCAUUGUCCGGCUGUACGUAGCGUUCAUCGAGGGCGCGUGCCGUAAGGCAAUCGUACAGACAACAUUCUGCCGAGUGUGUGGACAUUGAUAAUGAGAGC